CGCAGCUUUAUACCAAAAAACAAAAACAGAACGUUGUUCUUUUACGCAACAAUCGCAAGGCACGUUGGAACGAAAAGAAAAUUCUAGGGUUCUAUACAAAUCACUAAUUCUUGAACUCAGAAUCGAUUGUUUGACUGGUGUCAAUUGAACAAGGGCCUACGUAUUGGUUCGAGAAGUUUUGAGGAACCUAUUUUGCAGGCGAGCAGGCUACGGG